rnacentral:rRNA from 1 species
UGGGGAAUAUUGCACAAUGGAGGGAACUCUGAUGCAGCGACGCCGCGUGAGUGAUGAAGGAAUUCGUUUCGUAAAACUCUGUUCUAUGGGAAGAAAAGGACUGUACCAUAGGAGAAAGCUCCGGCUAAAUACGUGCAAGCAGCCGCGGUAAUACGUAUGGAGCGAGCGUUGUCCGGAAUUAUUGGGCGUAAAGGGUGCGCAGGCGGCUUUACAAGUUGGAUGUGAAAUAUUGUGGCUCAACCACAAACGUGCAUCCAAAACUGCAAAGCUUGAGUUAAGGAGAGGUAAGUGGAAUUCCUGGUGUAGCGGUGGAAUGCGUAGAUAUCAGGAGGAAUACCGGUGGCGAAGGCGACUUACUGGACUUAAACUGACGCUCAGGCACGAAAGCGUGGGGAGCAAACAGG